AUGAACGCUGGCGGCGUGCCUAAUCCAUGCAAGUCGAGCGAACAGACGAGGAGCUUGCUCCUCUGACGUUAGCGGCGGACGGGUGAGUAACACGUGGAUAACCUACCUAUAAGACUGGGAUAACUUCGGGAAACCGGAGCUAAUACCGGAUAAUAUAUUGAACCGCAUGGUUCAAUAGUGAAAGACGGUUUUGCUGUCACUUAUAGAUGGAUCCGCGCCGCAUUAGCUAGUUGGUAAGGUAACGGCUUACCAAGGCAACGAUGCGUAGCCGACCUGAGAGGGGGAUCGGCCACACUGGAACUGAGACACGGUCCAGACUCCUACGGGAGGCAGCAGUAGGGAAUCUUCCGCAAUGGGCGAAAGCCUGACGGAGCAACGCCGCGUGAGUGAUGAAGGUCUUCGGAUCGUAAAACUCUGUUAUUAGGGAAGAACAAAUGUGUAAGUAACUAUGCACGUCUUGACGGUACCUAAUCAGAAAGCCACGGCUAACUACGUG
rnacentral:rRNA from 1 species